rnacentral:rRNA from 1 species
CCUGGUUGAUUCUGCCCUUUGUCAUAUGCUUGUCUCAAAGAUUAAGCCAUGCAUGUCUAAGUAUAAACACGUUAUACUGUGAAACUGCGAAUGGCUCAUUAAAUCAGUUAUAGUUUAUUUGAUGGUUUUUGCUACAUGGAUAACUGUGGUAAUUCUAGAGCUAAUACAUGCGUACAAGCCCCGACUUCUGGAAGGGGUGUAUUUAUUAGAUAAAAAUCAACACUGUUGGUGAAUCAUGAUAACUUCUCGGAUCGCAUGGCCUCGUGCUGGCGAUACUUCAUUCAAAUAUCUGCCCUAUCAACUGUCGAUGGUAGGAUAGAGGCCUACCAUGGUUGCAACGGGUAACGGGGAAUAAGGGUUCGAUUCCGGAGAGGGAGCCUGAGAAACGGCUACCACAUCCAAGGAAGGCAGCAGGCGCGCAAAUUACCCAAUCCCGACACGGGGAGGUAGUGACAAUAUGUAACAAUAUACGGCUUUAUCGUCGUAUAAUUGGAAUGAGUACAAUUUAAAUCCCUUAACGAGGAACAAUUGGAGGGCAAGUCUGGUGCCAGCAGCCGCGGUAAUUCCAGCUCCAAUAGCGUAUAUUAAAGUUGUUGCAGUUAAAAAGCUCGUAGUUGGACCUUGGGCCUGGACGGGCGGUCCGCCUCACGGCGUGUACUGUCUUGCCGGGCCUUUCCUCUUGGUGAUCUGUUGUUUCGGCAGCAGGGAACCAGGACCUUUACUUUGAAAAAAUUAGAGUGUUCAAAGCAGGCUCGACGCCGGAAUAUAUUAGCAUGGAAUAAUAAAAUAGGACGUGCGGUUCUAUUUUGUUGGUUUUUGGAAUCGCCGUAAUGAUUAAUAGGGACAGUCGGGGGCAUUAGUACUCACAUGCU